GCCACUGCAACUUCAAACUUGAUGAACGGCUGUUAAGUCGAGGAUUAAUGGAUUCUGGAAGGAAAAGGUUCCAAAAUUCCAAAAGAAGACGAUGUCGCCUUCGAUGGGAGGCACGUAACAGGGCUCCUUUUGUCGAUGUGAGGCUCUUAUUUGCUGCCUGGCCACAAUUCCUGGCUGCCUGCAGGUGUCUCUCGAACGAUGUGGACUCCUGCAGCAAACUGGCUCUUUAAAGAUUAAUGAAUGUAUAUGAAGUCCCAUGAUUCCACGGAUUAGAUUCCACGAUUUAGAUGGAGAAGAGAGUAAUUUUGCAUCAAUGAGGGUUCAAGGGGACAGGGACCCCAGGGCAGAUAUAUAUCUUCUCAGUGUGCCCAGGGAGAGAAAUAGCUGCCUCUACCUAGGAUCGAACUCGCGGCCUCCACCUCUGGGCCACCGCUUGUGGACCGUCUGAAAGUUGCCAAGUUUGGAGACCCCCUGAAGGAAACCAUAAUUCGAUUGACCCUGUGCAAAGGGACGGAAGGAGCCAAGGCUUGCAUAAGGUGGUUCCCCCCCGUCUCUUGCUUUUCCAGGCUUCUCCCAGCUUCAGAGGUAGACUGCCUCGAGAGAGGGAAGCUCCACCGGGCUUCUUUCCUCUCCCACCGCCUUUGCCAGGAGGGAAAGUCCCCACGGAAGGCUGCAAGGCGGGAGCGGGGUGGGGGCGGCGGCUCGCAGCCCGGCGGCGGG